rnacentral:siRNA from 1 species
GUGGAGAACAGCUGGCUUCUACU